rnacentral:rRNA from 1 species
AACGAACGCUGGCGGCAGGCCUUACACAUGCAAGUCGAGCGCUCACUUCGGUGGGAGCGGCGGACGGGUUAGUAACGCGUGGGAAUAUGCCCGGUACUAAGGAAUAGCCUUUGGAAACGAAGAGUAAUACCUUAUACGCCCUUCGGGGGAAAGAUUUAUCGGUAUCGGAUUAGCCCGCGUUAGAUUAGGUAGUUGGUGGGGUAACGGCCUACCAAGCCUACGAUCUAUAGCUGGUUUUAGAGGAUGAUCAGCAACACUGGGACUGAGACACGGCCCAGACUCCUACGGGAGGCAGCAGUGGGGAAUCUUAGACAAUGGGGGCAACCCUGAUCUAGCCAUGCCGCGUGAGUGAUGAAGGCCUUAGGGUCGUAAAGCUCUUUCGCCUGUGAUGAUAAUGACAGUAGCAGGUAAAGAAACCCCGGCUAACUCCGUG